AUUGAACGCUGGCGGCAUGCCUUACACAUGCAAGUCGAACGGCAGCACGGGAGCAAUCCUGGUGGCGAGUGGCGAACGGGUGAGUAAUAUAUCGGAACGUGCCCAGUCGUGGGGAUAACGUAGCGAAAGCUACGCUAAUACCGCAUACGAUCUAUGGAUGAAAGCGGGGGAUCGCAAGACCUCGCGCGAUUGGAGCGGCCGAUAUCAGAUUAGGUAGUUGGUGAGGUAAAGGCUCACCAAGCCGACGAUCUGUAGCUGGUCUGAGAGGACGACCAGCCACACUGGGACUGAGACACGGCCCAGACUCCUACGGGAGGCAGCAGUGGGAAUUUUGGACAAUGGGCGCAAGCCUGAUCCAGCAAU
rnacentral:rRNA from 1 species